GUGGGGAAUAUUGGGCAAUGGGCGCAAGCCUGACCCAGCAACGCCGCGUGAGGGAAGAAGGCUUUCGGGUUGUAAACCUCUGUCCUUGGUGACGAAGAAAGUGACGGUAGCCAAGGAGGAAGCCCCGGCUAACUACGUGCCAGCAGCCGCGGUAAUACGUAGGGGGCGAGCGUUGUCCGGAAUUACUGGGCGUAAAGGGUGCGUAGGUGGCCUUUUAAGUUGGAUGUGAAAUACCCGGGCUUAACUUGGGGGGUGCAUCUAAUACUGGGAGGCUAGAGUGCAGGAGAGGGAAGCGGAAUUCCUAGUGUAGCGGUGAAAUGCGUAGAUAUUAGGAGGAACACCAGUGGCGAAGGCGGCUUUCUGGACUGUAACUGACACUGAGGCACGAAAGCGUGGGGAGCAAACAGGAUUAGAUACCCUUGUAGUCC
rnacentral:rRNA from 1 species